rnacentral:lncRNA from 10 species
GACUUCUCCAGGUUCUCUACAUUCCUGAAGCAAGUGCUAUAGAAUGGCUUGGCACUCCACCUGCACGUUCCCAAGCACAGAAUCAGGGUGCAGUAAAGAGGAUCUGGGCUGACCAACAGUGUCUUCCACAGAUACACUUGCUAAUUCACGCAUGGAAGACCCAGAGUGUAUCACUCCCCUCAACUGCUGGACUACUGUGCUGCAAACUUUGAGUCAGAAUGAUGAGCUUCAGUCAGGCAUAUCAUGGCUCCUGAACAGGAUUUUGAGAGCAAGAUUCUGUGCCUCCCUCAUCCUGCUGCAGCCUCUCAGUGCAUCUAGGUGUUUCUGCUUCCAUUGUACAUAUCUAUCAAAAUAAAAUUGUUAUAAUUAAACAAA